GGUAUUGUUUGCCCCACAGUAGGCCCCGUUAACUUAUUGUAUGUCAAACAAGCA
rfam:Lactobacillus acidipiscis strain DSM 15353 Scaffold30, whole genome shotgun sequence.